UACGUAGGGGGCAAGCGUUGUCCGGAAUCAUUGGGCGUAAAGCGCGUGUAGGCGGCCAGGUAAGUCCGUUCUGAAAGCCCGGGGCUCAACCCCGGGAGGCGGAUGGAUACUGCUUGGCUCGAGUCCGGAAGAGGCGAGUGGAAUUCCCGGUGUAGCGGUGAAAUGCGCAGAUAUCGGGAGGAACACCGAUGGCGAAGGCAGUUCUCUGGGCCGUAACUGACGCUGAGGAGCGAAAGCGUGGGGAGCGAACAGG
rnacentral:rRNA from 1 species